UACGUAGGGCGCAAGCGUUGUCCGGAAUUAUUGGGCGUAAAGAGCUCGUAGGCGGUUUGUCGCGUCUGCUGUGAAAAACCUAAGGCUCAACCUUGGGCUUGCAGUGGGUACGGGCAGACUAGAGUGCGGUAGGGGGAGAUUGGAAUUCCACGUGUAGCAGUGAAAAUGCGCAGAUAUCAGGAGGAACACCGGUGGCGAAGGCGGGUCUCUGGGCCGACACUGACGCUGAGGAGCGAAAGCGUGGAGAGCGAACAGG
rnacentral:rRNA from 1 species